AGUACGUGAAACCGUUUAKGUGUWAAYCUAAGAAACYCAAAAGAUYGAACGGGGAGAUUCAUCGUCAGCGGCGUUGGYUUCGCGUCGGUGAGCGAUGUCCCGCGGUUUYUCGCGCGGGCACGCUACCGUGCGCGCAUGACCGRCGUCGUCGUCGUGCACUUCUCYCCUAGUAGAACGUCGCGACCCGCUGGAUGUCGGUCUACGGCCCGGAUGUGGUGACUGUCGCGUCGCCGGUAAAACGGCACGCGGCAAAC
rnacentral:rRNA from 1 species